rnacentral:rRNA from 1 species
GAUCAUUACACAAUAUUACGGGGGGCCGGACCCAAGUCUGUCUUCAAACCGCAGCUUGACCCGCCCUGUCUGAUAUUCUACCCAUGUCUUUUGCGUACUUUUUUGUUUCCUUGGUAGGCUUGCCUGCCGUUAGGACAACCAUUAAAACCUUUUUGUAAUUGCAAUCAGCGUCAGAAAAAAACUUAAUAGUUACAACUUUCAACAACGGAUCUCUUGGUUCUGGCAUCGAUGAAGAACGCAGCGAAAUGCGAUAAGUAGUGUGAAUUGCAGAAUUCAGUGAAUCAUCGAAUCUUUGAACGCACAUUGCGCCCCUUGGUAUUCCAUGGGGCAUGCCUGUUCGAGCGUCAUUUGUACCCUCAAGCUCUGCUUGGUGUUGGGUGUUUGUCCCGCCUUUUGUGCGUGGACUCGCCUUAAAGCGAUUGGCAGCCGGCAUAUUGGCCUUGGAGCGCAGCACAUUUUGCGCUUCUUGUCAAUUAUUGUUGGCAUCCAUCAAGUACAAUUCUAACU